rnacentral:lncRNA from 1 species
UUGGAUCAUUACAAAAUAAAAAGUAUUUAUACUAAACAAAAUUUUAGAAAGGAAAAUUACUUUUUGUAGCCUUCUAAUUUCCCAAAAAGUAACUUUUCAUUAUUAAAUGUUAAAAAUUACUUUUUUUUUUUCUGUCUCCAUAUACUUAAACAAUAUGGUUUUAAUUGUUAUUUACAGAAAAAGAAAUUAAAACUAUUUACCAAAACAUAAUUAAAAAAAUCUUAAAUAAAUUACAAAGAAUUUAAUAAAUUUUAGAUAGUUCAUUUUUUUUUUGGCUAUAUUUGAAAAUGUCACAUUAAAACUGCAAUUAAUUGAUUUAAAUUAUUGUUUUAAAUAAUUAUAUGUCAUGUUAAAUUAGGAAAAUAAUUUAUGAGAAAAUUAAUAUUUUUUCUAAUUUUAAAUUUUUAUAUAAUUACUUGAAAGACAUGAUAAGGAGGAGCGAACUUGAAACUUUUUAAAAAUGGUAAAUUUUAUGAAUUUUUUAAAUCUUUUACCUAUCUAUAAAAAAUAUAUUAGUAAAUUAUUAAAGAGGAAAUAUGAACAUAACGCCAUAAUUACAUAAUUAAUUAUUCAUGAUUAGGUAUAAUUUAUGUUUACUAUAAUUACACUUGAUACGUGCCCAUCUUAUAAAAUAAAAUUCACUCCAAUUUCCUUACAAUUUCCACACCUUUAAUACAGACGUCGAAAUUCCCCCGUCGUCGUCGCAGGUUUCUUGGUCCAGAAAUCCACGAUGUUAAUUCCGCCGUACAUCUGGGCCGCCUGUUUGCUAUUAAUUGUUGUCUUAGCUUCUCGAACGUUGGGUGCAGCCGCACUAUUGACAGAGCACUCAAAGAUCAGAGUAUGAUCACAGUUGUUUUUACUCCGACGUAGAUGUUGAAUUUCGCCCUCGUAGGGGGAUUUUUUAUGAAGGGGAGGUGGAGGUUGGGGUGAUCGGGAAGUUAUGGCUCGUGUUCGCUCGAAGCUGAAGUAAUGGUACUCUUCCUUUUUGAAGAAAGCAGCCAUGGACUCGGACGAAGAUGUAGAGGAUUUGAAGUAAUUGUGAAGUCGUGGGUUUGUUGUGUGAAGAAGGUGAAGGAUCUUGAUAUUGUAUUUAUAGGGUGAAGAAAUUAUGUGCUUGUAAGGUAAAGUGAAUCUUAAUUUCUCUUUCUUAUUUGAUUUAAGUUUGUAGUGCUGAUCCUAUAUGGUUGGGUGACUAAAAAUAUGUUCUUUUUCCAAGUGGGCUAAGUAUAAACACUUUCUUCUUUCUUCUUUUUUUCCCUAAAAGUAGUUAAAUGUUGCAAAAUUCUACAUUUCACUUUCAUAUUUAAACAUGACAAAUUAUUCUACAAGAAAAUGGAUAGAGAUAAAUAUAAGUUGAGAUGCACUCAACCAAAGUAUUACUCUUAUUUAUAAGAUUUGUUUUUUCUUUUUUUUUUUUUUGAAGUUUUUCGAUCGGCAUCGAUAUUGACAUCAUCGUGGAGUAGAAAAUACUUGAGCAUGACAUGAAUUAUGUUGUACAUCGUUUAAUGUUAUUAAAGGUAUGGCACGAAUUUUUUCAUUACAAUGAUUUAGGCAUCUCACAAGCUUAGCACAUUUGGAUUUAACAAUUAGAGGGGAAAGAAAAAAAAUCCUUCACCUUGAAAAUGAGGGUUGAAAUACCGUUAAGGUCGACAAGUGCUUCAAGAGACUUGAUCGACCAGCCCUGAUGCACACAUAGGAGAUCCAGGAGAGUUACAAACAAUGUCCAAACAAUGCCUUGACUUUGAUCUCACAAUCACAUAAGAAGGCAUCAUAAUUAAGAUUCUAAGCACUUGACAUUGACGAUGACCAAUGAUCAUGAUACGAAUAAUUUUUUGAAUUUAGUCUCGAUUUUAAUUUAUAUUCGAUUGAGUCAAUAGUUAUCUUGGUAUUCUUAACUUAACUUAAUGAUAAGAUUUCAAAUUAUCUAAUAAAUUUGAGUAAACUUCGAGUACUUCGAACCUAUACUAAACUCGUCAAUGCUAGAAUUAUUUUGAAAGCGGUUAUUGUGAUAGGAAUAUUCAACAAAAACACCUUGUUUCUAUACUCGAGGAAGGUAACCAUGGUGUGUCAAGUUAAAGGCCAUAGUGUUGAUUGAUUCUCGUUUGCCGAGAAUCUUCUUUCAACUUCAAUGUAGAUUUUUGGUCCAACCUAUUGGGGAUUACAAUAAUUUUUUUUUAUAAAACUCUAACAAAUUUUGAUGCCUUGGUGAUUUUUCUAUCCAUUUUGCUUUAUUUUUGGUGGUUCCCCAUAGAAUAAUGCCUCAAAAUUUGCAAGAAAGUAAGAUUUUGACCCAUAUCUUAGUUUUACUUUUAGUAUAAUAGCAUCUUUUACCUCUUACUUUUCAAUCUUGUGUUGAGACUUUCAAAUAUUUGUUCUACAACACAAUAUAUUGUGUUUAUAAUGUUUGAAAUGAAAUAUUUUUUUUGAAGACAGAGAUUUCAAACCUUUAUUACCAAAAUCAACCACAAAUGGAGUAAAAGCACAUAAGAAUAAACUUUUAGUAAAAAUAACAUAUCAAGAUAGGCUAAGUCGGAUGGGAAUUGACAUAUUUACCAUAAUUUGGUCUAUCAUAAUAAAUAUGAAAAUAUAUAUAGACUAUUUACCAUAUUUAUGUUAAUUUCGUGAAUACUAUAUAAUUACUUGGUUAACAUUUUGUAAGUUAGAAUAAUAUGUUUGGUUGUAAACUUCAAUAAAAUUUUGGCUGAAUGAGUAUGCAUGUGUUCAAGAUUAAUGAAAAGACACAUGCAUGUGUUUCCAUUUGAUAAAAAACUCUACCUAUUUUCUAAACAAAAAAAUCUCUUUUUCUUUUUUAUUAUUAUUAUUUGAGUUGUUGGGGGAAAAGCAUAUAUGAAUAACAUUAAAGUUUGAAAAUAUAAAGAGAGCGAAAGAGAAAGGAUAUAGUUUGCUUUCGGUUAGUAGCACUUCAUGGCAAAUUCGGAUAUAUCUAUGGGCAUAAAUACACAUAAGUUUUCCUUCAAUAAUACACCAAAAAAGGAGAAUAAAAAACACGAUAGAUAUGUUACCAAUAUGUAUGAAUCUAAUUUCAAAAAGCUUCAUAUGCUGAGUCAAAUUUAAAUAAAACUACUUAUCGAAUUUGAUGCAAAAAGGAUAAUCAAACCUCAAUUUUGAACACUUUGUAUGGUCCAAUCAAAGGUCUAUUAAAGCAAAACAACUUGCUUGAAGAUACUAUUUUAGAGGUGAUCUAAAUUACAAUAGCUUUCUAGUUUUGUUGUGU